rnacentral:rRNA from 1 species
UAUUGGGCAAUGGGCGCAAGCCUGACCCAGCCAUGCCGCGUGCAGGAAGAAGGCCUUCUGGGUUGUAAACUGCUUUUAUCUGGGAAGAAAAAGUCCCUGCGGGGAAAACUGACGGUACCAGAUGAAUAAGCACCGGCUAACUCCGUGCCAGCAGCCGCGGUAAUACGGAGGGUGCAAGCGUUGUCCGGAUUUAUUGGGUUUAAAGGGUGCGUAGGCGGCCCUGUAAGUCAGUGGUGAAAGCCUCCAGCUCAACUGGAGAACUGCCAUUGAUACUGCAGGGCUUGAGUACAGACGAGGUUGGCGGAAUUGAUUGUGUAGCGGUGAAAUGCAUAGAUACAAUCAAGAACUCCGAUUGCGUAGGCAGCUAACUAGGCUGUAACUGACGCUGAGGCACGAAAGCGUGGGGAGCGA